CUCGCGCUUCGGAGACCGGAAAAAGCUCCUGGGGAUCACCUGAAAGAACCUGAAGUACACUUUCUAGUAGAUGUUUUUUAUCGUUCUCCUAUCGCAGGUCCUCACUUCCGGCCACCGAGAAACUAAAACCUAAAAUAUGUAACUGAAGAUGAUACUGUUAAUUAUGCAAAUUCGAUGUGGCUCUAAGACUGAAGAUCCGCAGUGUGGUAACUUGGAUUUUUCACGUGCCAAUUAAAGCCUCUAUGGGAGAUUCGUUUUAAAAUGGUGAAAAACGUUUCCUUAUUUAAAUAAGUAGGGCCAUCAUGCCACCAAGCCUGGCCGCCUAAUUCAGUCGAAGGAGAGAACUGACUCCUGCAAGUUGACCUCUGACUUUAACAUUGGCUCUGCCACACACACCACACACGCACGCGCCUGGUUUUAAAUUAAAAACAAAUAACCUGACUUAUGUAGACAAAAUAUUUCAAAAUAUUAAGCUCUGGUAGAUAUCAGAGGCUGCCAUUGUUUUCGAAAACAGGAUUUUGAUAGUGAAAAGUUUGAAAGUCGGUGAAAGAGCAAUGUUUACUCAGAUCUUUCUUACAGCGUUGCCCAAGUAAAUUAUCAUUUCUAAGAGAACCAUCCUGUAACUCAACUGGGAAGCAAUAUUGCUGGUAUAAUUACUACACCUAAAAAACUCUUUAGUUGGGUUCUCUUUAAGUCCUGGGAGAUGAUAAAAAGCCAAAGCAGUUCUUGUUAGACCUGUUCUUACAACAUUCCCAUCAUUGCCUUGAUUCCCCUAUGUGAUUUAUGAAAGGGAAAUAGACUGAGCAAUUACCCAGUUCCACCCAGUUCUUGGCCUUCCUCUUCUUUCCAUUUCACAUCUUGUCCCACCGGUCUCAGAACAGACACAGAGGUUGAUGUGGGGUUCAUCGUUUCUCAACUCUCUCAGGCUUAAGAUCUGAGAACCAAAGGAAAUCAAGUAUGUAAAUCAAAAAUGCAAUUUCUUUGUAAAGUAGGAUGUGUGAAUAGCCGAAAUGACCUCAAACAGUAAGUUCAGUGUGGACAGGGAGUUCCCCAACACUGAAAAUUAGAGAAAUGCCUCGCUGGUAAUAAAAGAUCAAGAAAUAAAUUCUCAAGUGUGUAGGGAGUAACCCUAGCCCCGCCCAAUAGUCCUGGGGCAGGUACCAGGUGGACCUGGGGACUCGCCCAUAAGGGCGGGGUGAAGGAAAGCCGGCAUGACGUAAGGGGGGCUUCUUAAAAGGCUGCACGUGGGGACCGGGCGCUCUCUUUGUUCUGGCUGCGCUGGCUGGGUUCUUAACCUAGCUCUGGCCUAUGUUUCACCCGGCUGUGCUUGGAAUAAAGAGACUUUAAUCCAAUAUCUGGCGCCCAACGAUAAACGAACCUGAAGAGCCAACGAGCAUCCGGAAAAUCCAAUGACCCCCUCGACAAGGAUGACUGACAGGUGUUUUCUGAGGAACUGCCCUCUAUAAGUCAAAGGACAUUACAUGUAUGGAUACUCAAGGAAAGAACGUAGCUAUAACCAUCGAACAAAAGGAACGUGAUAUACGCCAUCAAGACCCAUCCUGACAGCAAUCCCUACAUGCUCCGGAAAAGGAAUUGGACUACACCUUCCUGACUACACUGGAUUCAACUCACUCCGUUUCGACUGACACUCCAACCAGAACCUCGAGUGACGACUUCAAUCAAGUUGAGGAUUUCAACGUAGAUCUUCAAUCAAACAAAUCAUCUAACAUGGACUAGAUAUAACUCACUAGAGACUUUCCCUGUACUGG
rnacentral:lncRNA from 1 species